rnacentral:rRNA from 1 species
AGUUAACGUUGGCGGCGUGCCUAACACAUGCAAGUCGAACGGCAGCAUGGGUGCUUGCACCUGAUGGCGAGUGGCGAACGGGUGAGUAAUGCAUCGGAACGUACCCGGAAGUGGGGGAUAACGUAGCGAAAGUUACGCUAAUACCGCAUAUUCUGUGAGCAGGAAAGCGGGGGAUCGCAAGACCUCGCGCUUCCGGAGCGGCCGAUGUCGGAUUAGCUAGUUGGCGGGGUAAAGGCCCACCAAGGCAACGAUCCGUAGCGGGUCUGAGAGGAUGAUCCGCCACACUGGGACUGAGACACGGCCCAGACUCCUACGGGAGGCAGCAGUGGGGAAUUUUGGACAAUGGGCGCAAGCCUGAUCCAGCCAUGCCGCGUGCAGGAUGAAGGCCUUCGGGUUGUAAACUGCUUUUGUACGGAACGAAAAGCUCUCUCUAAUACAGGGGUGAAUGACGGUACCGUAAGAAUAAGCACCGGCUAACUACGUGCCAGCAGCCGAC